rfam:Gossypium hirsutum cultivar TM-1 unplaced genomic scaffold scaffold3999.1, whole genome shotgun sequence
UAUUAAAAAUUUCAUCUAUCUCUAUUGUUGAAAACGGGUUUGGCUCACAAAAUAACUAUACAGUUAUACAUGACGUACCAAGUGUACCUCAUUUUGACAUACAUGAGUCAAUUUUUAACAGUAGAAAGGGAUUGAAUUUUAAUA